rnacentral:lncRNA from 1 species
ACCAGCUGCCGGCGGCUCGGAGGCCCAGAGCGCACCUCACUGCAUCCACUCAAUGGCGGCCCCGGGCCCUGGAGGUGUGUGAUGAGUGGCGGACUCCAUCCUAGCAGGGCACGCUGGGGGCCCAGGGGACAGUUGGACCUCGGAGGAGCCUUUUUCUGCCUCCCUCGGAAGGCCAGCCUCAGCUGGUAGUCUAGGCUGGUCCCACCUCUUACCUGCUGCUGCCACCACCGAGAGCCUUCGAUCCCUCCCUGAUGGCUCCCUCGCCCGAGGACCCAGGGCCUGACCUGGAGAGUGGACCACCUUUCCUGAGCAUCAACAUUCUGCCUGUGGGGCACAGAUGGAUUGAGGGGGAGAACUCAGGGGGAGCCGCCCCAGCCCUUACCCACUGGGGCCCGUGGCUGGGCUGCGUGUGGCUCCCUACCCACCUGCUCACGUUCUCUGAGGAAGGGGCCAUGUCUCCACCUGGGAGGAACUGGAGCUUUGCAACGCCAGGAGAACUUGGUCCAGCCACCCCCACAGUGGCCAGCCUGCUCAGUGAGCUCACAGGUGGGGAGGCUGGUUUGGGCUGCCCCAUCCCCACAGCCCCACCCACGAUCCCGAGCCAGUGAUGCUGAGUAGGGCCCACCUGUCACUGUGCCCCACUCAGCCUGGAUCCCAGCCCAGCCAACUGUGUGCUAAGGUGCCAAUAGAGCAGCACAGCAAUGCUCAGAGACAUUCAGUCACUAACUCAAGCUCACACAGCAGGAUUUCCACUUCGUUGGUGGGGAGGGGGCCCAGCUCGGGG